AUACUACUCCCUCCGUCCGGAAUUACUUGUCGCAGAAAUGGAUAAAAAUGGAUGUAUCUAGAACUAACAUACGUCUAGAUACAUCCAUUUCUUCGACAAGUAUUUCCGGACGGAGAGAGUACUAU
rnacentral:pre_miRNA from 1 species